GACGAACGCUGGCGGCGUGCUUAACACAUGCAAGUCGAACGGAAAGGCCCUGCUUUUGUGGGGUGCUCGAGUGGCGAACGGGUGAGUAACACGUGAGUAACCUGCCCUUGACUUUGGGAUAACUUCAGGAAACUGGGGCUAAUACCGGAUAGGAGCUCCUGCUGCAUGGUGGGGGUUGGAAAGUUUGGGCGGUUGGGGAUGGACUCGCGGCUUAUCAGCUGGUUGGUGGGGUAGUGGCUUACCAAGGCUUUGACGGGUAGCCGGCCUGAGAGGGUGACCGGCCACAUUGGGACUGAGAUACGGCCCAGCCUCCUACGGGAGGCAGCAGUGGGGAAUAUUGCACAAUGGGCGGAGGCCGGAUGCAGCAACGCCGCGUGCGGGAUGACGGCCUUCGGGUGGUAAACCGCUUUCGCCUGUGACGAAGCGUGAGUGACGGUAAUGGGUAAAGAAGCACCGGCUAACUACGU
rnacentral:rRNA from 1 species